UUUUGUUGUUUUCUGCAGCUGAAAUUUAACCUGUUUUGUCUGGCAACUUUAUUUAGUGCCAUGCUUUAGAGGUGUUCUUAGAAGCCCCAGUACUCAACCAGGCCUGAAGUCAGCCACUGUCUCCAUCUGUAUUCCCAAAUAAAUCCCACAGGCAUGAGCUUCCUAAGGGGACAGGAAUGGGGCCACUAGGGUCAGCCUGCACUCUUAGGCACAGGCACAUUGGCCAGAAGGCCAAGGCCCUGUGUGUGACACUGGGAGUCCCUCCAGGAAGAAGGUUCUGCAAGCACCAUCAUACCUUCAAGAAACAUGAGAAGGGCUGGUAUUGUGGCUCAGUGGUAGAGCACUUGUGUAGCAUGCAUGAGGCAGUGGGUUCCAUCCCCAGCACCACGUAAAAAAAAAAAAAAAAACUAAAUAAAAGUGCUGUGAACAUCUGCAACUAAAAAUAACAAAAACAAAUGAGAAGAGGCUUCUAGUCCCUGCUCUUCCCCAGGCCCUCUGGGCUCUGUAUAUUCAGUGGUGAAGGAAUCUGGCCCAUGCCCAGCUUCUCAGAGGCAUAGCAGAGAUGUUCAGAUAAAAUGUGCACAGGAAAUGGCACGGCAAAAGACUAUGGUCGUGAUGUCACAUACGCGGAAACAAACCUGGAGGGAAGAGUCACCUGCUUGCAACCAAAGAGCAGAAUUUUGAGAGCUCAGCUUCCAGAGGAAUGUGCCCGUCCAUGAAGAUAGAUGGAGCAGGAAUUUGCUGUCUAGGUGAAGUAUGGAAAGGAGGGGAGUCAGAACCGGGAUUCCUGUCUUAAAUAAGUUCUUACUUUCUCUGCAGAAAUCCAAAAUAAGGAGAGACAAGAAAGAAAGCGAAAAGGAAAUCGCAUCUAUGAGAGGCCCCCGUGGCUCGGUGCCAGGCACUUCCUGCAGGUCUCUGUCCACAUUGUUUGUGUCUUGCUCAAGCUUAUGAUGGCAUCAGAGAUGGGGCCUCACUGUGUUGCCCCGGCUGGCUUCAAACUCCUGGCCCCAAGUGAUCCUCCUGAGUACCUGGGACAACAGCCAUGAACCAUCAAUCCCAAGCCCAGCAGGAGAUUUAUUCUUUCAAAGAGAUGUCUUCAGAGUCACACAGUAAAUGGAAGAAGUAGGAUGCCUUCUUCUGAGCUCUGUUCUGUUUCUUCUGAUUCUCAGCAGAUUGCAGUUAAGCUGCGGGUCUGUGACAUGGCAACAGAUGAGGUAGGAGGAAAGGAUGACCGUGUGGCUCUUUUAAGAACUGACUGGGAACUGCAGGGCUUUCUCAGAACAUUUCCCCUUCAGCUAUUGUCAGUAUCCCCCUUGCUGGGAUGUUGGCCAAAACCCCGAUGCCUGAGCCCCACUCAGACCUGUGAAGGGGAAGGCUGAACUCUGCAGGUGAAAGGGCCCACCUGGGAGUCCACGAGAGCAGGCAAGGAGGAGGCCACCUAGGAUAAGCAUGGAGAGCUUAUCCUAUGCUGGCUGUAACCAGUAGACCAGCAAUUUCAGUCUUGUUGGCAGGUGUGUUCACGUAAAGGCAAUGGCUGCAUCAGACCGUCGUAGUUUAAUGCCUUUAGAUAAAUCUCCUGAUUGUCCCUUGUUCCUUCUCCCUCACCACAAUCUCCUGACUGUGUUGGCAUCCCUGUGUGUUUGGCUGACCAGCCAACCUGAGCACUCCAGUCCUCUGUGUGCUUACAUUUCCAACUAUACAUGGGCAUUCUGGAAGAAUCUAUUCCUUGCAAAUCUGCUGAGCAUGGUACAUCCUCAAGGUCUGUCCACCUCUGUCCACCCCUGACUUCUCCCUGAGGAUGUCCUGCCUUCAGACUUUCACUACCUCUUGCAAGCCCCCAGGCCUUCCUGUUCUUCAGGAAGUCUGGGUCUAGUAAUCAGAUGUGGGGCUGUGACAAUAUUAGAAUUACUUGAGACAGGUCUUUUUCAGAAGACCUAAAAUUAGUUGUUGUUGUUGUUUUAAUUUCUUAGUCACUUGUUUCUUAAAGUAUACUUUAAAAUUAAACAGGAUCUGAGUGGUUAGUUAUUUGUCUCAGCACUAGGUUCCCAUGACCAAACUUGAAGGCUGGAAGUUUUUGAUGAUCACACUGGACUUGCUCCUUACACUGGCUGCGGUUCAGAGCUCUCAUUUUGCCUCUGCUGGGAUCUACCUGUUGCCUUUGAAAGGAGGGGGAGCAUUUCAUCUGUAGCAUCUCCCAUGAGCAUUCCCAGCCUACCUAGUCACUAAGCAUCCUCAAAGAUUCUGGAAAUUUCCUUCACCAGCAUUUUCUGGGCUACCUUGGGAGCAUAAAAAGAAGACAAAUGAACGCCUGAUAAUAUUCCUACCUUCCAAAGUCUUUAAUUCCUUCCUCCACAUUGUAUAUCCUCUUCAUUUACAUGGUCAUCUCUUCAGACUAGGUUUCAGGCAACCAACCAAGAAAAUACUGAGGAACACUUCCAACUAUUCCAUUCAGCAUAUUAAACCCAAAUUUUUAGAAAAUACAUCCAUGUACACAAAUCCGGUCUGAAUCUAAAAUUUUGUUGUUUUCCUCCUUAGAAAAUCAUUCCCAUGUGUGUUCUCCCACAUUAAAGUAGAUUAUCAAAUCUGGAUGAGUGAGUGUGUGUGUGUGUGUGUGUGUGUGUGUGUGUUUGUGUACAUCUUGUCCACACUGUGUGCUAACCUUUACCUCUUGGGUUAUACUUGAUAAUUGACCCCUCUGGGCUUGCUGGUCCCUAAUCCUAAUUACUUUUUUGGAGAUAAUGAGGAGUGAAGGGAGAGAGCAGGAGGAUAAUUGGCUUCCUUUGCAAGGUAACAGGACUAGUUCCCUUAGGUGCAUCUUCAUGUGAAGCAAUAAUGGCCUCAUUAGAUAUAGGAGGAGGUUCUGUUUUGGUUAGCAACAGAGGCCUAGUGACAUUUGGGGGUACAGAGUUCCCUGAGUUCUUCAGAUAUUUGCAUAUAUUCCCAUCUCAGCUCUUGACACACCACACUUUCUCCAUCAAGGCCCUAACUUUCACACAACAGACGGGGUGAGGCUGUGAAUUCGGUUGACUUUGUCAUUUGGCAACUCAUGGGAUUUGGCUUUCAGUUCUGUCUUAUGUCUGUAAGAAAUGAGAUUCUUUUUAUUAUAAUCUUAGAAGGAGCUUGUGUGUCAAUCUGUGUUGUGAUCUGAGAGUCUGAGGACCUGAACUUGUCAUUCAUAUUUGUGUAAGCAGAUUAGAGCCAAUAAAAGAUGUCUUCAAUUUUC